UCGUCCACCUGAAUAGCGUCUGACUUCAAAGGGUGCCGGUAGGAAUGCAUAGUAGCUUCUCAAGCAAUUAUCACAUGGAAGGGGAUUUCAUAAUAAUUUAAUUUGAUGCUAAAUACAUUUUUAGUAUGCCCACUUAAAUUUUUGUAUUACAUUUAAGUGGACUGUGUUCUGAUCAGGUGAUUAUUUGGUCCAAUUAGGUGCCCAUAGGACCAAAAGAUUGCUUGUCUUGUACACUAUGG